AUAAUGGUGGCUUAGUGGUAGAAUUCUCACCUCCCGUGUGGGAGACCCGGGUUCAAUUCUUGGCCAAUGUA
rnacentral:tRNA from 1 species